rfam:Beta vulgaris subsp. vulgaris contig104435.1, whole genome shotgun sequence.
GCUAAUACCGAAUGUGGUGGGGUGCGGCAUCGCACCUUCAUUAAAGUGGGGGAUCGUAAGACCUCGCGGUUAAAAAAGGGCCCAUGCGAUAUCAGCUUGUUGGUGAGGUAAUGGCUCACCAAGGCUAAGACGUCUAGGCGGGUUGAGAGAUUGACCGCCAACACUGGGACUGAGACACUGCCCAGACUCCUACGGGAGGCUGCAGUCGAGAAUCAUCCGCAAUGGGCGAAAGCCUGACGAUGCGACGCUGCGUGAACGAUGAAGGCCCUCGGGUCGUAAAGUUCUUUCGCUUGGGAACAAGAGAUGGAUGCUAACAUCAUUCAAAUUUGAGGGUACCAAGUAAAGAAGCACCGGCUAACUCCGUGCCAGCAGCUGCGGUAAUACGGAGGGUGCAAGCAUUAAUCGGAUUUAUUGGGCGUAAAGGGCGCGUAGGCGGAGAUGUAAGUCAGAUGUGAAAUCCUGGGGCUCAACCUCAGAACUAGCAUUUGAAACUGCAUCCCUAGAGGGUAGGAGGAGAAAACGGAAUUCCACAAGUAGCGGUGAAAUGCGUAGAUAUGUGGAAGAACACCGGUGGCGAAGGCGGUUUUCUAUCUUAUUCCUGACGCUGAGGCGCGAAAGCAAGGGGAUCAAACAGGAUUAGAUACCCUGGUAGUCCUUGCCGUAAACUAUGUAUACUUGGUGUAACCGGACUCAACCCUGGUUGUGCCGUAGCUAACGCGUUAAGUAUACCGCCUGGGGAGUACAGUCGCAAGGCUGAAACUCAAAAGAAUUGACGGGGACCCGCACAAGCAGUGGAGCAUGUGGUUUAAUUCGAUGCAACGCGAAGAACCUUACCCAGACUUGACAUGCAGUAGACAGGUUCAGAAAUGAACUCUUCCUUCGGGACUGCUGCACAGGUGCUGCAUGGCUGUCGUCAG